AGUGAACGCUGGCGGUAGGCCUAACACAUGCAAGUCGAACGGCAGCACAGGAGAGCUUGCUCUCUGGGUGGCGAGUGGCGGACGGGUGAGGAAUACAUCGGAAUCUACUCUGUCGUGGGGGAUAACGUAGGGAAACUUACGCUGUUACCGCAUACGACCUACGGGUGAAAGCAGGGGACCUUCGGGCCUUGCGCGAUUGAAUGAGCCGAUGUCGGAUUAGCUAGUUGGCGGGGUAAAGGCCCACCAAGGCGACGAUCCGUAGCUGGUCUGGGAGGAUGAUCAGCCACACUGGAACUGAGACACGGUCCAGACUCCUACGGGAGGCAGCAGUGGGGAAUAUUGGACAAUGGGCGCAAGCCUGAUCCAGCCAUACCGCGUGGGUGAAGAAGGCCUUCGGGUUGUAAAGCCCUUUUGUUGGGAAAGAAAUCCAGCUGGCUAAUACCCGGUUGGGAUGACGGUACCCAAAGAAUAAGCACCGGCUAACUUCGUGCCAGCCGCCGCAGUAA
rnacentral:rRNA from 1 species